UGCACAGUGGUUCCCCCAGAGGCCAAAAUUCAAAAAAUAUGAACCAGAAUAGAUUUGCGCAAAAAAAAGCUAACGGGACUUUCUAAAAAUAGAAUUGAAGUCGCAAGCACAAGCUCAUUUGCGAAGCGUAGUUGGACGAAUUGCAUUCUUCUUAAUAACAGAGCGAACUUCAAAAAGGUAAAGCGUCAGUAAUACUUAUCUGAUUGAUAUAAUUUAAAAUGCAGUUUAAAUUUGAAGGUAUUUACUUUUAUAAAUUCAUUAUGUUAAGUUAAUUUCAUUGAUUUAACACUUUUUUUGUAAUUAUAUUUGAUUUAACCUUUUUUGUGUAUUUUGUGAACGUCUUUUUCAUGUUUACGUAAAGUUUUAGUUGUGUCCCGCCGAUACCCCGAAAUAAAUGUUUAUGUCAUUGUAUUAAAGAGUUUCUUGAGGUAAUAAAACUCUUCGAGAAUUUUGCGGAAA